UUUCCGUAGGUGAACCUGCGGAAGGAUCAUUAAUGUUAGUACCAUCCAACCUUGCUGUCGGUCACCCUCAAAAAGUGGCCGGCAACAAGCACCCGUGACAUGUUAAAGUCCUUAACAGUAUCCAAACCCGUUUGGGUACUGUUGUUAAGCACCCCCCCCUUAAACAGAUUGUCUAAUUCUGAGUUCAUCAAUUUAUUGGUGAGCGCAAAAAAAUAAAAAAAUACAACUUUUAACAACGGAUAUCUUGGUUCUC
rnacentral:misc_RNA from 1 species